CGUUUACUCUCUCCAUUCCUCUCCCUUCUCACGCUCGCCCUCACCAGCUCUCCGUCAUUCCGCCUCCCGUUGACCGGCGCUCCUCCACAUCUCCUCUCCAUGGUCGCGUGGAUCCGCCGUCGGCGGCGACGGCAGGGGUGGAUCCACCGAGCUCCAUCAUUUGUCCGCCCCCGCUCGCGCCGAUCCACCGCCUCUCGCGUCGGCAGCGACGGGAGGGGUGGAUCCGGCGACCUCCGUCGUCUCUCCGCCCCCGCUGACGCCGAUCCACCGCCUCUCCCGUGGAUCCGCCGUCGACGGCGACGGGAGGGGUUGAUCCGGCGACCUCCGUCGUCUCUCCACCCCCGCUCGCGCCGAUCCGCUCGGGCUCGUCGUCGCGUCGUUUGUGGGCUGCUUCUUCACGUCCGUCGCCUCGCUCAUCAUCUCCAAGCUGCAUCCGCCGUCGGCAGCGACGUGAUGGGCGGAUCCAGCUCAUCCCUUCAGUCCCAACUCUGUCUGGGUGUCCAGGAAGAGACCGGCGGCGGGGAGGGCCAGAAUGGCGGCGGUGGUGAGGGCGGAGGCGGUGGACACAUCCAUCAGCCCAACGAUGAGGGCGCUCCGGUCGUCCAAGAACAUGGCCAUCACAGACCAGGCCACGACGUUGCGGCAGGCCGGCGAGCUGGUCAUCGGCCUCGCUGCAGGGGAGCCCGACUUCAACACACCGGCCUCGCUACCGAGACGGAGUUGGGUUUAGAUCUUUGCUGGUUCUUUUGCGGUGAUCGGUGACGGUGAGGGACGGCGCCCUCCCUGGUCGUGGGACCAUGCAGAGGGAGACAGGAGGUCUGGACAGCGACACCGUGGGACAGCUUGUCGGCCAGGUGAUGAUCAGCGCUCCCUCAGCGGCGAGCGACAUCCCGGUCCCCCUUUGUGAGAAGGGUCCGGUCGAACGCGUCGCUGCAAUUAAUGCAGCGGCGUCAUUGAAGGAGGGCGUCACCAAUGAGGCGUCCGACGUUGCAGCUGCUGCUACCACGAGUGGCAACAACGUUCCGAGGAAGGGGAGGAAUUCUCCUCCGUACUCGGGACCCGUCGGAAGGCGCCAAACCCGGCGGACUCGGACGCGUCUCCCCACCUCAGCGAAGGCAAAGGCUAGUGACUAGUGACGAUCGGCGAGAAGGCGGCGCAGGCGAAGGCGGCGCAAGGUGGGACCGGUGCGGCUUCCAGUGCGUCCCCUGCAGUGACCUCGACAGAUGUAGUGGUCGCUACUAAGGACCGGGAGGCGACGUCGAGUAGCCCCGCCGUCAACCUUGUGUCUGCUCGGGGCCCGUCCACCGAUGCCCUCACCUGGGGGGAGCUCCAGGCGGAGAUGGAGCGCCUCCUCCAGGCCGGUGCUCGGGGCGUAGGCCGCGAGGUCGAGGAGGCCAGGGCGGCAGCGUCGUCAGCAAACCAGCGUGCUGACCAGCUGGUACGUGACUUGGCGGAGGCCCGUGAGGACCUCCUGAAGAUGAGGGAGCUGGUGGCCGGCAACGAGAGGCAGCGGCAAGGGCUCGAGCACCGGAUGUUGGAGCUCGAGAACAAUCCGUCAGAAAUCCGAUGCUCGCUGCGGGUAUCGUACACCAGCCUACACCAGCUCGCCGGGGAACGUGGUGUCACGACUACCAGCUGGCCUGCAAAAUUUGCACAUGAACGUACUACUUGCCUAUAGAUGAUGGUGGUGUGGCCGUGUGGGCAAUAUUGGGUGCAUAUGAAAAUGCUGCAAGAAAAAAAAAGGGUGCCCUUUAUACCGAUCAAGAAAAAGAAGUGCAUUUUAGCUUGAUCAAGAACUAACCCAAAAGCAGGCUACUCGUCAACACUGUUUCACUCCCUCUCAGUGAUAUGUGUUCAUGUCUAUUCGGCCAGCAAGCACAUUGCGUUCGUCAAUACAUGCUGUCACUGCCCUUUUGAUCGCCCGCAGAAGAGCCACCCCAGCAUGCACGCAGACAACAAGACAACAACAAGCUUUGAGUUGAAGGGAAAUCCAGAUUAUAUAUUUGAUAUUAGUUAAUUCAGUGUCUCAAAAAAUAUCAUCAACUCCAAUUUGAUGACCAAAAAUCCUCUGCAAAACUGAUAAUUUUACAACCUUGAUGCUACAGAUCAAAUAACAGGACUGAAUGUGCCCUAGCUCCAAAUAUCACAAUAUAGGUGGUAUGUGUUCCUAUCGGGCUAACCUCACCUACUUCAGGGAAGAAAUUGGUCAGCAGCCAUACUUGGAUAAUGGCAGCAUGACCGUCGCCGUGGCCUCGCACCGCCAGUGGCCGGCGCACGCGCAACACACCAGGUCCUUCCGCUUUGGUCACCACUUGCCACUCUUUGCCUCCAUUAAUGACACCACCUCAGCGACUAGCCACCAUAGGUUUGGCCCCAACAAUCACUUGAAAUGAAAGUUGAGAUUACAAAUACGGCAAGCAGGAAAGCCGGUGAAAUCAAACUGCAGCAUCAUGCCAUUCUCCUCUCAAAUAUGGCCGUAAAGCAACACAAGAAGGGAUGUUUUUACCUCUCAAAUCUGUUUGCCGACACCGCCGCUGUGGUGGAGGAGGAGGCCACCAUGUAACACAGAACAUGUAACACAAGAAGGAUGGCAGUGUUUUAUCAGACUUGAUUUGUACCUGAAGGGCGGCAUGUUGGUGGGGAAUGCGUAGAUGCAGAGAACCAUCUCCAUCGGCCGGCAUGCUUGGUCCGCCACAAACCGCACCGGAUCUCAUCGCUGUGUUCUUGUAUCCGCCCCUGCCGAGGUCAGAGCACAAUCCACACCGCUGCUGAUUUACUCCAAUCCAUUCUUUCUAUGAAAAGAAGAAAAUCGAAAUAUCAAAAAAGGAACACAAAACUGAGUUCAACUUCAACCGCACAUCAUUAUGCACGCUGCAAACCUUACCUCCGUGAGACACGCACCAACAGCGGGAAACACGACGAUGAUACCAGCAAUGCAGCACCAAAGGAUGGGGAGAAGCUGUGCCGCCAGUCGAUCUGCGGCGCCCUCGCUUGAUCCGCCGUUGGUCCCAUUCGCACGAAAGGGGAAGAAAUGAAGACAUCAACCGAAGAGGCAGGGAGGGGAGAAGACAGAGCGACGCGACGAGGCGAGGACGAAGAAAGUAUUGGGGUGGAGGCGCUCGAGGAUGAGGAGGCCAGCGCGAGCUCGCAUCCGGCGCUGCACCCGUCCCCCGCCGCCUACGCCGCGAACGCCGCGGCCGUGAGGACAAGGAUGAGGAGGAAGGUGGAAGCUUCCACGGCGGGAGGUCGCUCGUGACGAAACCCUAGCGACGGGGCGGGGACGGGGAUGGGGGCGGCGACGCGAGGCGUGGACGGGGGCAGUGGUGGCCGGCAACGGAGGCGGUGAAGGGCGGAGAAUGGACCGGCGGCGGAGGAGGAGGAUGGCUGAGGGAGAGGGAGGAGGGGCGGCGCGCGGGGCGGCGGCGGCGGCGGCGACGCGAGGCGGGAGAAGGAGAGGGAGAGGGCGAGACGGGGGACGGGAGGGACGAGGAGACGAGCAGGCAGCGGCGGGCAGGUGCACGGCGUUUUUGCGAAAAAGACCCUCGUCUUUCAAGUUUUACAGCGCGACCCUAACUCGCCACAUCUCCCUUCCUCCUAUGCAAUAACUGGAUUCACCAGAGGCCUAAACGUAAAUAGAUAACUCGGUGGGACUGUUCAUGGAGGACGGCGGCCGAAUUACGCGCGAAGCGGAGGGCCUUUUCACAAAAAUGCCACCCCGCGCGCUGUAUAUACUGUAGCAAAAUCCUUACGUGGCACCCCUCCUCGCUCGCCCCAUGUGCGCCGCUUUAUAUAUUCCGAUUCCGAUUCCGUUUACAGGUGGAAUUAAUCACCUGUGGUGUGAACACAUAGGGAAGCAGGGGAGGAAGCUCCUGCUCCUGCAUGACGUCAUCCGGCAGCGGUAGCACGGUCCUCAGCCACGCCCUUUGCUGCACGGCCAGUGGCCUCCGUCCAAGAUCCCCUCGGUGCCACGGCUUGGGGAGAGAGGCGGCUGGCGAAUCAAAAGGCAGGCAAAGACGGACGUAGCGAUGCACGUGAUUUCAUCCUCCCCAUCCCCAAGCACGGCAACCGAAUUUCAUCGCCACAUCCAGCGACGAGGUGAAUCUGUGCCACUGCCGCCGAGCUUGAGGGGAGAGACGGCACAGAACAGCGCGCCGGCGCGUGGGAGGGUCGGCCUCGGGCGCCGGAGGGGCGGAGGUGGAGGUGGAGCUGGAGCGUGAGGAGGAGGAAGAGGCGGCGACAUCGGCGUAGGUCGACCUCCGACGAAUGAGGCGGAGGAAGCGGGGGCGGGGCUGCCGGCGGAGAGAAGGGCAUAGCAGGGUAUAACUUUUUCAAAAAGACCCCUAAAACCUCACAUAUUACAAAGAGGUCCACCGCAGCUAUUCCACACCGUUGAUCAUCGAUCCGACGGCUGAGGGAGAGGACUAACGCUGGAAUCGUAUUGUGCCACGUGGAGGGGUUGUUUGCACGCGAAUCCGCAGAGAUUUCGAAAUUAGAGAUUACGCCAAUGCAUCAGGUACAACAUUUAUAUCAUACACGUAUAGGUGGAAUAACUGUAAAAAAACAUUUGUGAUUAUUAUUUUUUAAUACCAAACUGCUUAAAAAUCGAUCAGUUAAAUUUAUCCACCGUAGUACAAUCGUUACGCUAACGCGUCAGGAACAUCGCUCAUAUCAUACACAUGUAAAGUGGAAUAUUUUAAAAAAAACUUUGUGAUUAUUAUUGAAAUACUAGACUGUUUAAAAAAUUGUUCAGUUAAAUUUUAUCCAUCGUGACAUCACUCUGUGCGCAAAUAUAGAGCAUAUUAUUUAUCUAAAAACAAACAAUUUUUUUUGAGCAGAUUAGUUCUCUAAACCAAACAAUACUUUUUGAUCGCUAUACACGCUCCGUAAACACCCGGUGCAACGCACGGUCACUUUUGCUAGUCUAUAUAUAUAUAGCAUGUAGAUUCGAUAGUAAACAAUUUACUAGUAAAUUUGGGAGGGGUAGGGGGCGCCGGUGGUUGGGGUGCACGGGGGUGGAUUGGGAGGGGUGGGGGUAGGAUGUGAGGGGGAGCAUUUUAGCUACUACGUACGCCAGAUGCGGUAUAGUAUGUCUAUAUAUAUAUAUAUAUAUAUAUUAAAUUUGUUAGGGGCACCAUGGUGCCCGGGCUCCAUAGCCAUCCACCGUCCAAAUGCUUUAAGAUCCGUGCAACACACUAGAGGAUGCUAUCACACAUUAACGGGUCUAACCCGAUAAGAGUUGCAUGCAUAUACUUUCCUUAGAACAUGCAUGCAGGUAUUUCCAUUUUUACUGUGCAUGUAUUUCCAAAUUUGCGCCCUCUAAUCAUGCAUACACAUUAUGAUUAGCACUUUCCAUUUUCUAUAUCACAUUUCCAUAUAUACAACGUUUGCAUGCAGAUACUUACCUUUUGAAUCGUGAUUCGUUUUUGAAAAAUGACGCCAUUCCACUAAUUGCGAUUAUUGCCAUCUAUUUUCAAGAUUACAUUCCAUUUUCAAGAUGCACAUAUAACCGGCUACUGUAUUCCUUUUUUUGAUUUUUCUUUUCCACACUGUUUCACGGUCCAAGAGCUAGCUAUCCACAUCGUCUUCACCGAGUUACCUCGCCGGGAUUGCUCGCCAUGCCGUGAAGAGGGCCGACGUCCGUGGUUUUCGUCACCGACGACGUUCGUCCACAAGCCUCUUGCUGGAAACCAGAACUCCUCAACCAUUUUUGUCAAGCCAUCACAGCGCCUGAUGUCCAAGUGCCUUUUCGCUGCCGUCGCUGGUUGUUCGUGAGCUUCGGAACAGACAUUAUUCACCAGCGAGCUGCAUUACCUGAAAGACACAAUUGCAACAUAUAAAGAGCAGAACAAUACGACUCUGCUCACUUCUGGUGCUCUCUCUGGUUCUCGCCAACAACACAUUUCUGUUCCAGUAGCUAUGGACAAGAUGAACACUAGUGCCCGGAGCGAGAAGAUCGAUCAGUCGCUGCAGAAGUAUGAUCACCCACGCUGCCGUUGGCACAUAUUAUUUGGUACGAAGUCAGAACUACACAACUUAUAUCAUGCACGCACAGCAAGUGAUUUUGAAGAUACUUGGACGGCCCUAGUCAAUGAGUAUGGUCUUCAAGAGGAGAAUGCAUAUCUCCAAAAGGCGCAGAUGUUAAUAGACGAUGAAACGAAGUCCAAUGAUUCACAGGAGAUAGAUACAGACCGUAAAGAUGUCAAGAGGGAGGUGGAGGCUCCUAAGUUGAUCAUUUCUCGUCAUAGUGAUGAUAAAUUCUCAUCCUAGUGAUGAGAAAUGAGACUCGCCCACCGUCUGAAUAGCAAACAUGAGGCAACAUGCAAGUACCAGCCGAAAAUCAACUCUCUGAUGGUGUGAUAUGGUUGCCAGCCAUCGGUCAAAUAAGCAGCCAUUCUGUGUUUUUACAUUUAUGAAUCACAAUCGUACUGUAAUAAUAAACUAGUUACAUCUAUAUUUAUAGAUCGUUUUUACUUUAAUUAGCAUAUGUUUCAUUUAUAUUAUGCUAAACUCCUAUGAUAUGUGGAUGAGCCAAUUCACCGAUA